UAGGGAAUCUUCCGCAAUGGACGCAAGUCUGACGGAGCAACGCCGCGUGAGUGAAGAAGGAUUUCGGUUCGUAAAACUCUGUUGUUAGAGAAGAACAGCGCAUAGAGUAACUGUUAUGCGUGUGACGGUAUCUAACCAGAAAGCCACGGCUAACUACGUGCCAGCAGCCGCGGUAAUACGUAGGUGGCAAGCGUUGUCCGGAUUUAUUGGGCGUAAAGCGAGCGCAGGCGGUCAAUUAAGUCUGAUGUGAAAGCCCCCGGCUCAACCGGGGAGGGUCAUUGGAAACUGGUUGACUUGAGUGCAGAAGAGGAGAGUGGAAUUCCAUGUGUAGCGGUGAAAUGCGUAGAUAUAUGGAGGAACACCAGUGGCGAAGGCGACUCCCUGGUCUGUAACUGACGCUGAGGUUCGAAAGCGUGGGUAGCAAACAGG
rnacentral:rRNA from 1 species